rnacentral:rRNA from 1 species
CCCUUAGAUGUUCUGGGCCGCACGCGUGCUACACUGAGUGGAUCAGCGGGUCAGGUUGCGCGAAAGUGUUUCCUAAUCUUUAAAUCCGCUCGUGAUGGGGAUUGGCGGUUGCAAUUUUCCGUCAUGAACGAGGAAUACCUUGUAAGCGCGGGUCAUCAUCCCGCGCUGAAUACGUCCCUGCCCUUUGUACACACCGCCCGUCGCUCCUACCGAUUGAGCGGUCCGGUGAGGCUUUGGGAUCUGAGCGGAAAGAGCGUUUCGCUGUUUCUGCCCGGAAAACUCAGUCGAACCUUAUCAUUUAGAGGAAGGAGAAGUCGUAACA